rnacentral:rRNA from 1 species
GACGAACGCUGGCGGCGUGCUUAACACAUGCAAGUCGAACGAAGAGCGAUGGAAGCUUGCUUCUAUCAAUCUUAGCGGCGAACGGGUGAGUAACGCGAAAUCAACCUGCCCUUCAGAGGGGGACAACAGUUGGAAACGACUGCUAAUACCGCAUACGAUCUAAUCUCGGCAUCGAGGAUAGAUGAAAGGUGGCCUCUACAUGUAAGCUAUCACUGAAGGAGGGGAUUGCGUCUGAUUAGCUAGGUGGAGGGGUAACGGCCCAGCAAGGCGAUGAUCAGUAGCCGGUCUGAGAGGAUGAGCGGCCGCAUUGGGACUGAGACACGGCCCAGACUCCUACGGGAGGGGGCAGGGGGGAAUCUGGCGCAAGGGAUGAAAGUCUGAGGGAGCAAGGCCGCGGGAGGGAUGACGGCCUUCGGGUUGUAAAGGUCUGUUAAUCGGGAGGAAAGGCCUUCUUGCGAAUAGGGAGAAAGAUUGACGGUACCGGAAUAGAAAGCCACGGCUAACUACGUG